rnacentral:snRNA from 1 species
AUACAGGGCAAUUGGCAGAUCAAGCGUUUGUGUAGCGCUUGAUCUGCCAAUUGCCCUUUAUCCCCUG